rnacentral:rRNA from 1 species
UUUGAGAGUUUGAUCCUAGCUCAGGGUGAACGCUGGCGGCGUGGAUAAGGCAUGCAAGUCAAGGGGUCCGCCUUCGGGCGGAAACCGGCAAACGAGUUAGUAACACGUAGGUAACUACCCAUCACACGGGCAUAGCCAGCCGAAAGGCUGGGUAAUUCCCGAUGGUCUCGCGAGAGUAAAGUCCGCCAACCGGCGGAUGGUGGUGGAAGUGCCUGCGUCCUAUCAGCUUGUUGGUGGGGUAACGGCCUACCAAGGCUUUGACGGGUAGGGGACGUGAGAGCGUGUUCCCCAACGAUGGGACUGAGAUACGGCCCAUACUCCUACGGGAGGCAGCAGUCGAGAAUAUUGGACAAUGGAGGAAACUCUGAUCCAGCGACGCCGCGUGCGGGAUGACAGCCCUUGGGUUGUAAACCGCUUUUAAUUGGGAAGAAUCCGCCGCAAGGCGGAUGACGGUACCGAUUGAAUAAGGGGGUGCUAAUUCUGUGCCAGCAGCCGCGGUAAAACAGAACCCCCAAGCGUUACCCGAAUUUAUUGGGCGUAAAGUGUGCGUAGCCGGUUUGGCAAGUCGCGGGUUAAAUCUCGAAGGCUCAACCUUUGAGCUGCCCGCGAAACUGCCAGACUUGAGGGCGUUAGGGGCUGAUGGAACUCUUGGUGGAGGGGUGAAAUCCGUUGAUAUCAAGAGGAACACCAAAAGCGAAGGCAUUCAGCUGGGGCGACCCUGACGGUGAGGCACGAAAGCGUGGGGAGCAAAAAGGAUUAGAUACCCUUGUAGUCCACGCCGUAAACUAUGGAUACUGGCUAUGUGAAGUGUCGACCCUUCACGUGGCGAAGCUAACGCGUUAAGUAUCCCGCCUGGGAAGUACGGCCGCAAGGCUAAAACUCAAAGGAAUAGACGGGGGCCCACACAAGCGGUGGAUCAUGCGGCUUAAUUCGUCAACAACCGAGGAACCUUACCAGGGCUGGAAACACUCGUGAAAUCCGUCAGAAAUGGCGGACUUCCGCAAGGACUCGAGUUCAGGUGAUGCACGGCUGUCGUCAGCAUGUAUCUUGAGACGCUCCGUUAAAUCGGGUAACAUGCGCAACCCUUACCCUGUGUUUUAUGUGUCACAGGGAACUGCCUGAGACAAUCAGGAGGAAGGUGAGGAUGACGCCAAGUCAGCGUGUCCCUUUGAUGUCCUGGGCUGCACGCAUGAUACAAUGGCGAGGACAGCGGGUAGCAACGCGGCAACGCGAAGCUAAUCCCUUAAACCUCGUCUCAGUUCGGAUUGAGGUCUGCAACUCGACCUCAUGAAGCCGGAAUCGCUAGUAAUCGCGUAUCAGCUAUGGCGCGAUGAAUAUGUUCCUGGGCCUUGUACUCACCGCCCGUCACGUUAAGCAAGCUGGGAAUAGCCGAAGGUCCGCCAUAGGCGGAUUCAAGCUAGGCUCAGUGAGAGGAACGAAGUCGUAACAAGGCACCGGUAGGGGAACCUGUCGGUGGAUCACUAC